UGCUAGAUCGUAACUGACGUUGAGGCUCGAAAGUAUGGGUAGCAAACGGGAUUAGAUACCCCGGUAGUCCAUACCGUAAACGAUGGGUGCUAGUUGUUAAGAGGUUUCCGCCUCCUAGUGACGUAGCAAACGCAUUAAGCACCCCGCCUGAGGAGUACGGCCGCAAGGCUAAAACUUAAAGGAAUUGACGGGGACCCGCACAAGCGGUGGAGCAUGUGGUUUAAUUCGAAGAUACGCGAAAAACCUUACCAGGUCUUGACAUACCAAUGAUCGCUUUUGUAAUGAAAGCUUUUCUUCGGAACAUUGGAUACAGGUGGUGCAUGGUCGUCGUCAGCUCGUGUCGUGAGAUGUUGGGUUAAGUCCCGCAACGAGCGCAACCCUUGUUAUUAGUUGCCAGCAUUUAGUUGGGCACUCUAAUGAGACUGCCGGUGAUAAACCGGAGGAAGGUGGGGACGACGUCAGAUCAUCAUGCCCCUUAUGACCUGGGCAACACACGUGCUACAAUGGGAAGUACAACGAGUCGCAAACCGGCGACGGUAAGCUAAUCUCUUAAAACUUCUCUCAGUUCGGACUGGAGUCUGCAACUCGACUCCACGAAGGCGGAAUCGCUAGUAAUCGCGAAUCAGCAUGUCGCGGUGAAUACGUUCCCGGGUCUUGUACACACCGCCCGUCAAAUCAUGGGAGUCGGAAGUACCCAAAGUCGCUUGGCUAACUUUUAGAGGCCGGUGCCUAAGGUAAAAUCGAUGACUGGGAUUAAGUCGUAACAAGGUAGCCGUAGGAGAACCUGCGGCUGGAUCACCUCCUUUCUAAGGA
rnacentral:rRNA from 1 species